UACGUAGGGGGCAAGCGUUGUCCGGAAUCAUUGGGCGUAAAGCGCGCGUAGGCGGCCCGGUAAGUCCGCUGUAAAAGCCCAGGGCUCAACCUUGGAAUUGCAUUUGAGACUGAAUAGCUAGGGUGCGGAAGAGGGAAGCGGAAUUUCCGGUGUAGCGGUGAAAUGCGUAGAUAUCGGAAGGAACACCAGUGGCGAAAGCGGCUUCCUGGUCCAGCACCGACGUUCAGGCACGAAAGCGUGGGGAGCAAACAGG
rnacentral:rRNA from 1 species